rnacentral:rRNA from 1 species
UACAGAGAUGGCAAGCGUUGUUCGGAAUCACUGGGCUUAAAGCGCGUGUAGGCGGAGUGAUGGGUGCCUUGUGAAAUCCCUCGGCUCAACCGGGGAAUGGCUCGGCAAACCGGCACUCUUGAGGCAAGUAGAGGUAACUGGAACCAUUGGUGGAGCGGUGAAAUGCGUAGAGAUCAAUGGGAACGCCGGUGGCGAAAGCGAGUUACUGGGCUUGUUCUGACGCUGAGACGCGAAAGCGUGGGUAGCAAACAGG